UUUGAAUUGUUUAACAACACCAAUCCAAGGACUGGAUCAGUUGUGGUAGUUAACUAUUACAAGCAUAAACAAACAGAGUUGAACACAACUUCAUGAAAAUUAUGGGAACUAUGGAAACAUAUGAAAUGGAAUUACAAAGAGUUUCACUGACAUGCGGCCUACAAAUUCAGGGGAAGAAUUUCAUGUCCAAGUUACUCAUGAUUUUGUAGAAAUUCGUAACAAAGGAAGAAACAGGGGAAUGGGCUCAAGAAUUAUAAUUACACCACCAACACCAGUUACUAAUUCACGAAGAACCAAGCAUAGCACAUAUGCCCUAUGGAUGAGCCAAAUUCAGAUGAAUUUGAGACCACAUAAUACGAUGAACAUGAUAUAUUUGUUAGGUUUGUGAAGUGUAAAUAGUACUCGCAAAAUAUCUUUUGAGCACUAUGCACAUUACAUAUCCCCGCAUAUCUGAUGUUGGCAACAUUAGCAGCCGAGGUUUUACUCCUUGCUCGUAUUAGUCGUAUAUAUAGCCUAUAUAAUUCUGGAGUACUUCAUCCUGGCUCAUUAAUAUAACGAAAACUGGUGUGAAUCCUCCGGCAACUGCAACCGCAUACACGGUGCGCCAAAAUUCUUGUGAUUGAAUUGUUUCCUUCGCAAUGUUUUGUGCGUGUUUAGUUCGUCUCCUAACACUAUCUGAACUCAAAUAAAAAGCUCAUUCAAUUUCAAAACAAUAAA